rnacentral:rRNA from 1 species
GACGAACGCUGGCGGCGUGCCUAAUACAUGCAAGUAGAACGCUGAAGAGAGGAGCUUGCUCUUCUUGGAUGAGUUGCGAACGGGUGAGUAACGCGUAGGUAACCUGCCUUGUAGCGGGGGGUAACUAUUGGAAACGAUAGCUAAUACCGCAUAACAAUGGAUGACACAUGUCAUUUAUUUGAAAGGGGCAAUUGCUCCACUACAAGAUGGACCUGCGUUGUAUUAGCUAGUAGGUGAGGUAACGGCUCACCUAGGCGACGAUACAUAGCCGACCUGAGAGGGUGAUCGGCCACACUGGGACUGAGACACGGCCCAGACUCCUACGGGAGGCAGCAGUAGGGAAUCUUCGGCAAUGGGGGCAACCCUGACCGAGCAACGCCGCGUGAGUGAAGAAGGUUUUCGGAUCGUAAAGCUCUGUUGUAAGUCAAGAACGAGUGUGAGAGUGGAAAGUUCACACUGUGACGGUAGCUUACCAGAAAGGGACGGCUAACUACGUG